rnacentral:misc_RNA from 1 species
CACGACUCGACAUAGCCCAGCGUCAAUUCCGUCGAAAAACACGAGUCGUCCGUAACAACGUAACGACCUACGACAAGAUCGGAACAUCAAAACGCGAGGCGAACAUUAUCGUAAAAAGCACGGAUCGAGCAUAGAAUACAAAUCAUCGAAUAAAUAUACUACUACUUAUCGCGACGAUUUUCAAGAGGAAAUAUAUCGCGCAUAGCAAAAGAAUAAGAUAGUUCGGGCACGAAGAAGGGAAAGGCUGAAGCGUAUGCACAGGAGGAGCGUGAAAGUUAAAGGCAAAGGCAAAGGCAAAGGCAAAGGCAAAGGCAAAAGCAGAGGCAGAGGCAGAGGCAGAGGCAGAAGCAAAGGCAAAGGCAAAGGCAGAGGCAGAGGCAGAGGCAAAGGCUCAACGGUCAGCAAUCAACCGAUUGUUUCCGCUGCUUCUUCGCGAUCCAAUGCCAAAAGCCUUUAUCUCAAGAAACAUCUGACUUUUCGGUCGAAUACUAGGCUUCAAGCUUAUCGUUCCACCGAUAACAAGGCUUAUGUAUAUAUGUAAAUAU